CUACACAUGCAGUCGAGCGGAUGACGGGAGCUUGCUCCUUGAUUCAGCGGCGGACGGGUGAGUAAUGCCUAGGAAUCUGCCUGGUAGUGGGGGACAACGUUUCGAAAGGAACGCUAAUACCGCAUACGUCCUACGGGAGAAAGCAGGGGACCUUCGGGCCUUGCGCUAUCAGAUGAGCCUAGGUCGGAUUAGCUAGUUGGUGGGGUAAUGGCUCACCAAGGCGACGAUCCGUAACUGGUCUGAGAGGAUGAUCAGUCACACUGGAACUGAGACACGGUCCAGACUCCUACGGGAGGCAGCAGUGGGGAAUAUUGGACAAUGGGCGAAAGCCUGAUCCAGCCAUGCCGCGUGUGUGAAGAAGGUCUUCGGAUUGUAAAGCACUUUAAGUUGGGAGGAAGGGCAGUAAGUUAAUACCUUGCUGUUUUGACGUUACCGACAGAAUAAGCACCGGCUAACUCUGUGCCAGCAGCCGCGGUAAUACAGAGGGUGCAAGCGUUAAUCGGAAUUACUGGGCGUAAAGCGCGCGUAGGUGGUUCGUUAAGUUGGAUGUGAAGCCCCGGGCUCAACC
rnacentral:rRNA from 1 species